GCUCGUCUCUUCCCCAUGCUGCAUUGUUCAGUUCCGUCUCGUGGAAGUUAACCAAACAUGGAUUUGUAAGAUUAGAAAAAUCUGCAUCUCCUCUUCGAGUGAUUCAGUUUUCGUUUAUAGAGGUGCAUUUGGUUCUCUGCCAUUUCCAUGGUGGUUCUGUACGUUUUACUUGGUUUGCCAGGGUCACAAUUCAAGCAUGGCUGAGAAAAAUCAAUUCCCUGUUUGGUUGCCGUGAAAAGUUGGGAAGAAUAUGCACAUUUAUUUGUUGGGACCCGUAGAAGUGAAGAUCCUAUAUUGACCGGUACUUAAUUAAGAUCGUGAUUGAGCUUGGUGAAGUGGUGGUGAAGAAAGCGUCUGCCAGAAAGCCACCGAGAAGAGCAAGAAGGAACGCUGUGCCCAUGAAAUUGGUAACGAUAUUUGCAGAGCUGGAUGGAGUAAAAUGCAUGAACCUUGACAGGUACAACACAAGGUUGCUUGCAUUCGCCAGGAAUGCUAGAUUCUCCAGAAUUUCCACAACUAAGAUCCAAGAAGUUCAUUAUUAACUGGUGGACAUUACUUGCACAGAGGAUGCUAGAUUAUUGCCACCAGCAUAUCAAUAGAUGGAUUAAUUUAAAGAAUCAAGUGGACUACAUUCGAUGGAAAGAUUAGUUUUACGUUGUGCUUGAAGGUAAAGUUGGAGUCCAGCUUUUCAGACAUGUCCCGCAAGCCACAUCCAUGCUUACUCUUGCAAUCAUUAACCUUAGUAGUGGGUUUCCUUUCUGGGCCACCCGUUUCCUCUCUUCAAUGAAAAUGUGUGGAUAUGAUCUACCCAUAAAAUAAUGGAAGCAUGAUCAGGGAUAUCACUGGAUCAACAAAAUUGGGUGGCUAAGAACUUAAUUCAUGGGUCCCUGCCAGGUGAUUUUGUUAAUUUUCCUACAUGAUUUAACUCUCAGCUGGGAUUGUUUAAAGAAAC